UACGUAGGGGGGCAAGCGUUGUCCGGAUUUAUUGGGCGUAAAGAGCGUGUAGGCGGCCAAGCAGGUCAGCUGUGAAAAACUCGAGGCUCAACCUCGAGACGUCGGUUGAAACCGCUUGGCUAGAGUCCGGAAGAGGAGAGUGGAAUUCCCGGUGUAGCGGUGAAAUGCGCAGAUAUCAGGAAGAACACCAAUGGCGAAGGCGGUUUUCUCUGGACAGUUCCUGACGCUGAGGCACGAAGGUCAGGGGAGCAAAACGGG
rnacentral:rRNA from 1 species